rnacentral:rRNA from 1 species
CAGCAGCCGCGGGAAUACGAAGGGGGCUAGCGUUGUUCGGAAUUACUGGGCGUAAAGCGCGUGUAGGCGGGUCCUUAAGUCAGGGGUGAAAUGCCAAGGCUCAACCUUGGAACUGCCUCUGAUACUGGGGAUCUUGAGUCCGGGAGAGGUGAGCGGAACUGCGAGUGUAGAGGUGAAAUUCGUAGAUAUUCGCAAGAACACCAGUGGCGAAGGCGGCUCACUGGCCCGGAACUGACGCUGAGACGCGAAAGCGUGGGGAGCAAACAGGAUUAGAUACCCCCGUAGUCCCUGUCUCUUAUAC